rnacentral:rRNA from 1 species
AGUGAACGCUGGCGGUAGGCCUAACACAUGCAAGUCGAACGGCAGCACAGUAAGAGCUUGCUCUUACGGGUGGCGAGUGGCGGACGGGUGAGGAAUACAUCGGAAUCUACUUUUUCGUGGGGGAUAACGUAGGGAAACUUACGCUAAUACCGCAUCCGACCUACGGGUGAAAGCAGGGGAUCUUCGGACCGUGCGCGAUUGAAUGCGCCGAUGUCGGAUUAGCUAGUUGGCGGGGUAAAGGCCCACCAAGGCGACGAUCCGUAGCCGGUCUGAGAGGAUGAUCAGCGACACUGGAACGGAGACACGGUCCAGACUCCUACGAGAGGCAGCAGUGGGGAAUAGUGGACAAUGGGCGCAAGCCUGAUCCAGCCAUACCGCGUGGGUGAAGAAGGCCUUCGGGUUGUAAAGCCCUUUUGUUGGGAAAGAAAAGCAGCAGGUUAAGACCCCGCUGUUCUGACGGUACCCAAAGAAUAAGCACCGGCUAACUUCGUG